rnacentral:lncRNA from 1 species
CGCAUCUUUUCGACGCCGGGUCCUAGCGCCCGCUCGCGCCCUCGGAGACACAUUCCCGAACCUAUUUGUCUUCUCCCUUCUUCCCCACUACGCUCACACUCUUCUCCAGGUUCCCUCAUUAAGGGCAGCUCUCUACCUGGCGGUCUCGCGGUUCCUUAACUGCUCACCCCCAUCUCCCUUUAGUGUGGUUCUCCCCACCCGUACCACAACUUCCCUCACGCUACUCGACACGCCUCCUUCCCCCUCCGCCCAGGCGCGCGCUCUCCACCUGGUGCGUACGGAGAUCGAACCCUCUCCUCCGAACCCCUCCUUUCGCCUUCCCCGCCCCCUCCCCUCCGCCUCGAGCACCGCGCGCGCGCAUUCGGUCCCAGCCACCGCUAACACUAGAAGCUGCUUACCCCCGCCCCCUCCACCCUACUCCUGGCGGCCUCAGGCGACGCCGAGUGAGGCUGAGGCUGGGGGCGAAUCGCCGCAGAGCUGCGUGUCGGCGGCGCAUUCUGAUUGGACAGCGGGGAAGCCCGUCAGCCUGUUGGCCCCGCUGAUCCCGCCCCGUAGCGCAGGGCAGCCUUUAACCUUUAGCCCCAGUGGGCGCCAGCCACUCAGAUCGCUUCUUGUUGGUAUGUGUAGCGGCAGUGGCCGCCGGCGGAGCAGUCUGAGCCCGACGAUGAGGCCGGGGACGGGAGCUGAGCGUGGAGGCCUCAUGAUGGGGCACCCUGGCAUGCAUUAUGCCCCAAUGGGAAUGCACCCUAUGGGUCAGAGAGCGAAUAUGCCUCCUGUACCUCAUGGAAUGAUGCCGCAGAUGAUGCCCCCUAUGGGAGGGCCACCAAUGGGACAAAUGCCUGGAAUGAUGUCGUCAGUAAUGCCUGGAAUGAUGAUGUCUCAUAUGUCUCAGGCUUCCAUGCAGCCUGCCUUACCGCCAGGAGUAAAUAGUAUGGAUGUAGCAG